GAUGAACGCUGGCGGCGUGCCUAAUACAUGCAAGUCGAGCGAACGGACGAGAAGCUUGCUUCUCUGAUGUUAGCGGCGGACGGGUGAGUAACACGUGGAUAACCUACCUAUAAGACUGGGGUAACUUCGGGAAACCGGAGCUAAUACCGGAUGAUAUUUUGAACCGCAUGGUUCAAAAGUGAAAGACGGUCUUGCUGUCACUUAUAGAUGGAUCCGCGCUGCAUUAGCUAGUUGGUAAGGUAACGGCUUACCAAGGCAACGAUGCAUAGCCGACCUGAGAGGGUGAUCGGCCACACUGGAACUGAGACACGGUCCAGACUCCUACGGGAGGCAGCAGUAGGGAAUCUUCCGCAAUGGGCGAAAGCCUGACGGAGCAACGCCGCGUGAGCGAUGAAGGUCUUCGGAUCGUAAAACUCUGUUAUUAGGGAAGAACAUAUGUGUAAGUAACUGUGCACAUCUUGACGGUACCUAAUCAGAAAGCCACGGCUAACUACGUG
rnacentral:rRNA from 1 species